rnacentral:rRNA from 1 species
UAUUCCUACGGGACGCAGCAGUGGGGAAUAUUGCACAAUGGGGGAAACCCUGAUGCAGCGACGCCGCGUGAGUGAAGAAGUACUUCGGUACGUAAAGCUCUAUCAGCAGGGAAGAAUAAUGACGGUACCUGACUAAGAAGCCCCGGCUAACUACGUGCCAGCAGCCGCGGUAAUACGUAGGGGGCAAGCGUUAUCCGGAUUUACUGGGUGUAAAGGGAGCGUAGACGGCGGUGCAAGUCUGAAGUGAAAUGCCGGGGCUCAACCCCGGAACUGCUUUGGAAACUGUACAGCUA